AUUAGCUUUAGCCUCUUCAAUAUUUAUCAAACUUUUGCUUGUCGUUUCAAGAAACAAUAUGAGGCAUCUGAAUCUUCUUAUUUUGGCGACAACUCUGGUUUUUCUGAUGAGCAUGCAAGCUCACGAAGCCAUUAGAGUUCCAUUUCCUCAUACAGAAGGAGUUCUGAUUGGGGAGAAAGUCGUCGGGUUAUUAGAGUCUCUAGUGACUCCAGUUACUCCUUCUGGACCCAGCGGCUGCACUCAUGUUCCCACACCUGGAGGUCCAUGUGUGCAUAAUGAAAUGAACUAUGCUGGCCGCCGGGCUAUGGCUCCUCCGCCUCCAUACCCACAUCCUAUGGCUCCAGUUGGAAUGUCUGCUAACCGUAAAUGAAAGCUUUUGCUGCAGGCCCUGUGAUCACAUGCACUAUAUUAUUAUUGGCUUACGCCAUAGCUAGUUAAUUACUUUUUUCUUUAUAUUGGAGUCGGUCGCUGGACUUGUAAUUAAGAAACUACGUACAAGACUCCAUUCCUUUUUAUUUACCAAGUUCAAGAUUAUCUUUCUUGCACAACGCGCAAUAAUUUGUGUGAUACAUUAAAUAAAAUGCCCAAGGCUUCUUUCUGUUUAUUUAUCACACAAAUUAUUGCGCGUUGUGCAA
rnacentral:misc_RNA from 1 species